CCAAUACUAGAUGGCAUAGUGAGCUGGCUUGUGCACAGUUCCUCUAUGACUGUCUUUUGUGGCGAGUGGGAGCUGAAUGCCUCUCAUGAGGUUUGAGGUGUGGUCCCUUUCCACGGUGUUGGACACUAACCUUGUCCCCCGAGGCUCUCGUCGGGUGUGGACUGUCUUCUGCAUAUUCCAUAGACUUCCCAUAGCCAUUUAUUGGCCAUGGUGGGGAGACAAACCAUGCAGAAGACAGCU